CUAUUUUGAGAUGGAGGUGGAUGAGAACUGUUAGCCACAGUCAUUUCAAGGGAGCUACUAAGCUGUGUCUCCUAGAGUUUGGAGACUGUGAUCCAUUUUCAAGUGAACUUUUAGCUUGAAUAUUCCUGCCCGCUCCCUUCACUGCUGUGGACAGGGCAGACACUGGGCCGGGCGCGGUGGCUCACGCCUGUAAUCCCAGCACUUUGGGAGGCCGAGGCGGGUGGAUCACAGCGUCAAGAGAUCGAGACCAUCCUGGUCAACAUGGAAGAAGAAAUGCCAGAGGUAGAAAUUGACAUUGAUGAUCUUCUUGAUGCAGACAGUGAUGAAGAGAGAGCUUCAAAGUUACAGGUGAGCAGUUUUCAAAAUUGAGAACCUUCUGAUCAAGGAUACUUGAGAGUCUGUUUAAGUCUCCAGAGCUUGGCAUGAACUGAUUCCGCCCUAUGGCAGUGUUGGCACCAGGACUUGGGCCAUGGCUGUUUGCAGAGAGGAAAGCAAUGGGCAGCUAAGUGUUCAGCCU
rnacentral:lncRNA from 13 species